rnacentral:rRNA from 1 species
GUGGAUCCAAGUAAAAACCAAGACGGCAGAACACGACUCGACGGCGCGGAGCAGCCAAUCGCUCCCUCCGCGUUAUCUCGUUGCCUCCACCCCUCCGCCCCAUUCCCGCUGCUGCUGCUCCUCUCUCCUCUUAGCCCAAACACACCUCACCUCGCUCCCCGUCCCGCCGAUCUCUUCUCUUAGGGUCGUCCGCGAUGGCGGCUCCGGUGGUGGACGCCGAGUACCUGCGCCAGGUCGACAGGGGGCGCCGCGCUCUCCGCGCCCUCAUCGCCUCCAAGGGAUGCGCCCCCAUCAUGCUCCGCCUCGCAUGGCAUGAUGCUGGCACGUAUGAUGUGAACACAAGAACUGGUGGUGCAAAUGGUUCAAUUAGAUACGAGGAAGAGUACACCCAUGGUUCAAAUGCUGGCUUAAAAAUUGCUAUUGAUCUCCUCGAGCCUAUUAAAGCGAAGCAUCCAAAGAUUACAUAUGCAGACCUUUAUCAGCUUGCUGGAGUAGUUGCAGUUGAAGUCACCGGGGGUCCAACCGUUGAGUUCAUCCCUGGAAGACGUGAUUCGUCAGUUUGUCCCCGUGAAGGGCGCCUUCCUGAUGCUAAGAAAGGCGCACCACAUCUAAGGGACAUCUUUUAUCGAAUGGGCUUAACAGACAAAGAUAUUGUAGCACUAUCUGGGGGGCACAGCCUGGGAAAGGCACAUCCUGAAAGGUCUGGUUUUGACGGUGCAUGGACUCGUGACCCUCUGAAGUUUGACAACUCAUACUUUCUUGAGCUACUGAAGGGGGAAUCGGAGGGUCUUCUGAAGCUCCCUACUGAUAAGGCAUUGUUGGAUGAUCCUGAAUUUAGACGUUAUGUGGAGCUUUAUGCAAAGGACGAGGAUGCUUUCUUCAAGGACUAUACUGAAUCACACAAGAAACUUUCUGAACUUGGCUUCACACCACGGAUCAGUGGCCCAGCUUCUACAAAAUCAGAUGUUUCAACUGCUGUUGUACUUGCACAGAGUGCAGUGGGGGUAGCAGUUGCGGCAGCUGUAGUCAUCGCGGGCUACCUGUACGAGGCUUCCAAGAGGAGCAAGUAAGGGGUUUCAUGAGUUCUUGGAUGGCAUUGCCUUAUUUAGUAAGUAUAUCAAGUUAUUCUUAAAAAAAUAAGUGCCAAGUUCAAAUAAUAGAACUCUAGUGAUGAACAACCAACAGCAGUCUUAAAAUAUUUCAGGCAUUCUUGAGGACAUCUCCUUCAUGUAUACAUCAUACUUGAAUAUUUCAGUGACAAUGAAUGCUUACUAUUAAAAGCAUUUUUG